AUACUAUUUACCAAUACGUAUGCAUAUAUGUAUAUAAUUAUAACCCAAGUAGCAUUCAUAAUAUUUAUUUUCACUGAUAACAUGUACGUAAAACCUAAAAUAAAACAAAGACACCACCAGUCAAAUUUCCUUUGGAAAUUUGAACUCCAAGGGCGGGGGUGUCACGUCCCGCGCUCCGCACGCGCCGUAACAAGAACAAGAAAACCAUUCUAUACAAAACGCGCGAAUAAGGAUUUGAAUGCACAAACGAACACACGGCGCUACGAAACUAAAGGAAGGAUUAACAAAACGAGGGCGACUAAUAGAUCCAACCAAUAAACAAAACACAUAUACACACAACUCUAAAUAAACCUACCAAUAACCGACUUGCAAUUUGAAAACUUGUGGUUCAAUAUAAUAUAAAUCCAACCAGUAUAAAAUAAAAUAAAUAGAACCAGCUAAUGGAUUGAACGAGUUAUGAACCAAGCAAAUAAACCAGGAAAUAAGAAUAACUACAAAAGGGGAAAUAAUUGAAACGCCAGGAAUACAUGUAUAUAUAAAUAUAUUUUAAUCAAUCAACUUGGAGAGUUACAUAUAAGUAUAAACACAUAUGCCAGACAUGUAAUAAACUAGUAAAUAUUAGAGACAGUACUUCCAAUACUAUGCAACAAAUACAAUAUUAUCAAUUUAUGAAAUAUAAGUAUAUAUGAAGUCAAAAACUAAUAGUCUAACGAAUACAUAAAACAUACAAUAUUGUAUUAUUAAAGAAAUAAAAGUUACAUUGUCAGAAACAUA